AAAGGUUAGAAUUCGCGUGGCUCAGUUUUGGUUUUUAAGCACACAAUCAUGAAGUUCCUUUCACCCUGAUUCUAUUGAUAUAAAUUUUGUGGAAAAUGGUUGCAUAUUGAGAGAAAUACAUGGAUUUAAAGUUUCACACUCAAUAUGUUUUUGUUUGGUUCUUGGUUGUUAGCUUGAUUUAGUGAACAUGAAGGUUGGAUUAUUAAUGUACAUGAUGAGAUGUACACAUUGAUAUGUU
rnacentral:lncRNA from 1 species